CUUUCUCUCACCGAUCUCUCUUCUAUUUGAUUGCUCUCCUUCUCAAAAUUAGAGUUCAGGCUUGAAGAAUAAAAGGUUAAGGCUUCAGAUGAUUUUAUGUUGUUUAAGUGUGUGAAGGCCGACUGGAUCGCUAAUCAUGAUCGGUUGCAGGAUUGAUGAGAUGUUAUAGCAUGGACCAGAGUUUAUUCGUCUCUUUAUUCUCUCUCUCCAUCUUUCUCUUUCUCAUAGAUCUCCCUCCGAUUUCCUCUCGGCGACAAAAGCAUAUCUGAAAUUGUUGAAUAUCUCAAAUCCUCUUCUGGAAAGUCUGGAACUUCCAGCACCAUUGCCGUUGUACAGAUUCGCGAACCCCUCCUUCUCUGGUCCCAGUCGCAGUCAAAGCAUGAUUUUGAUUCCACAAUUCAAAGCAGAUCUUGCCAAGAAGGAGAUGUUCUUAAAUUCAACUUCUUACCUCAGCUUGUUCUUCAUGAAUCUUAGAUCUGCAGGAAAUGAUAUCAUGCAAAGAAAGACUCAAUUUUGACAUAUGCCAUCAAGUUGGAUCUCAGAUAUUGUUCCUUCAAGAUCUGCAGAAUCAUCGUGAAGAACAUGAAGAACAAUUAUGACUAAAAUUUAAAUUAAAAGGAGAAAUUUAAAAACAAAAAUCUAAUUUGAAUAAUCUUAAUCCAUUUAUUUUGAUAUAUAUAAAAAUAAGGGAUAAUUGUUCAAGUAAACCCUAAUUUGUGUUUGGCCCAAACUCUAGGUUUCUUGACCUAGUGGUAAUAGGGUUAAAUUAGAAGGAUCUAGAUUCCUAUUCAAUGUAAGA